GAACCCCUAUGGACCCCCACGGAUACUAGUAGGCUGGUAAAUGAGAAAAGAUAUGUUGUACAAUGAUUGAAUUACAAGAGGCGUGAUAAGUGUUAUGUUUUACAGCUUAGAUUAUUCAAUGAUUAUGAUGAUGUUAUUGUUUUUCUCAUAUUGUUUUCAUAAAUUCCACCAAGGUAAGUGGAUGGUAAAGGUUUUCAUGUUAAUAAACGAGUUUAUUGUAAAUUAUGCUCCAUUGGUCUUUUGUGUUUUUCUACCCACCUUUACCUCCGUGACGGUGAGAUAUCGUGAUGUUCUUACUGGGCUAGUGUAGCUCACUCCUUAUUUAACCAUUUCAGAUCAGGAAGACAUGGUUCCCGAGCCCGUUCCGCAGGAGGACGACGAAGGGGAUACCUAGAGACUCUGUAGUCAUACUCAUAGUUUUAUUUUCGAGUUUUCUUUCUUAGUUAGUUUAACCUUU
rnacentral:lncRNA from 1 species